CGGCCAGACUCCUACGGGAGGCAGCAGUGAGGAAUGUUGGUCAAUGGCCGAGAGGCUGAACCAGCCAAGUCGCGUGAGGGAUGACGGCCCUACGGGUUGUAAACCUCUUUUGUCGGGGAGCAAAGAGAGUCACGUGUGGCUCAUUGAGAGUACCCGAAGAAAAAGCAUCGGCUAACUCCGUGCCAGCAGCCGCGGUAAUACGGAGGAUGCGAGCGUUAUCCGGAUUUAUUGGGUUUAAAGGGUGCGUAGGCGGAAUGCCAAGUCAGCGGUAAAAUCGCGGGGCUCAACCUCGCUCCGCCGUUGAAACUGGCGUUCUUGAGUGGGCGAGAAGUAUGCGGAAUGCGUGGUGUAGCGGUGAAAUGCAUAGAUAUCACGCAGAACUCCGAUUGCGAAGGCAGCAUACCGGCGCCCAACUGACGCUGAAGCACGAAAGCGUGGGUAUCGAACAGGAUUAGAUACCCCAGUA
rnacentral:rRNA from 1 species